rnacentral:lncRNA from 1 species
UUUGUUUUGCUUGUUAUUAAGUGAGGAAUUGUAGGGAUUCUAGUUCAAGGACACUUUAUAUUGUAAUUGUAAAAAGGGUAGAGCAUAGUGUUAGUAGAAACUUCUAUUGUUGCUAGCUUUUGCUCCUUGUAACUUAUGUAUGCUAUCGCAUACCUAAUGUUUAAUACUCUUAAUGAUAAUGCAAAGAAUUUGAUUUAGUUUGAUGAA